AGAGUUUGAUCCUGGCUCAGAUUGAACGCUGGCGGCAUGCCUUACACAUGCAAGUCGAACGGCAGCACGGGGGCAACCCUGGUGGCGAGUGGCGAACGGGUGAGUAAUACAUCGGAACGUGUCCUGUAGUGGGGGAUAGCCCGGCGAAAGCCGGAUUAAUACCGCAUACGCUCUACGGAGGAAAGGGGGGGAUCUUAGGACCUCCCGCUACAGGGGCGGCCGAUGGCAGAUUAGCUAGUUGGUGGGGUAAAGGCCUACCAAGGCGACGAUCUGUAGCUGGUCUGAGAGGACGACCAGCCACACUGGGACUGAGACACGGCCCAGACUCCUACGGGAGGCAGCAGUGGGGAAUUUUGGACAAUGGGCGAAAGCCUGAUCCAGCAAUGCCGCGUGUGUGAAGAAGGCCUUCGGGUUGUAAAGCACUUUUGUCCGGAAAGAAAACGCCGUGGUUAAUACCCGUGGCGGAUGACGGUACCGGAAGAAUAAGCACCGGCUAACUACGUGCCAGCAGCCGCGGUAAUACGUAGGGUGCAAGCGUUAAUCGGAAUUACUGGGCGUAAAGCGUGCGCAGGCGGUCCGCUAAGACAGAUGUGAAAUCCCCGGGCUUAACCUGGGAACUGCAUUUGUGACUGGCGGGCUAGAGUAUGGCAGAGGGGGGUAGAAUUCCACGUGUAGCAGUGAAAUGCGUAGAGAUGUGGAGGAAUACCGAUGGCGAAGGCAGCCCCCUGGGCCAAUACUGACGCUCAUGCACGAAAGCGUGGGGAGCAAACAGGAUUAGAUACCCCGGUAGUCC
rnacentral:rRNA from 1 species